AGAGUUUGAUCCUGGCUCAGUAAGUCGUAACAAGGUAACCAUAGAGUUUGAUCCUGGCUCAGAUUGAACGCUGGCGGCAGGCUUAACACAUGCAAGUCGAGCGGAGAUGAGGUGCUUGCACCUUAUCUUAGCGGCGGACGGGUGAGUAAUGCUUAGGAAUCUGCCUAUUAGUGGGGGACAACAUUCCGAAAGGAAUGCUAAUACCGCAUACGUCCUACGGGAGAAAGCAGGGGAUCUUCGGACCUUGCGCUAAUAGAUGAGCCUAAGUCGGAUUAGCUAGUUGGUGGGGUAAAGGCCUACCAGGGCGACGAUCUGUAGCGGGUCUGAGAGGAUGAUCCGCCACACUGGGACUGAGACACGGCCCAGACUCCUACGGGAGGCAGCAGUGGGGAAUUUUGGACAAUGGGGGAAACCCUGAUCCAGCCAUCCCGCGUGUGCGAUGAAGGCCUUUGGGUUGUAAAGCACUUUUGGCAGGAAAGAAACGUCGUGGGUUAAUACCCCGCGAAACUGACGGUACCUGCAGAAUAAGCACCGGCUAACUACGUGCCAGCAGCCGCGGUAAUACGUAGGGUG
rnacentral:rRNA from 1 species